GGCGGCGCAGCGGCCGCGCAGCCUUUGUCUCGGGGCCGCGGGGCGGCGGGGCCCGGCGCAGGCGUAAGUGACCGGUGGCCGGGCCGCCGGGGGCUCGGCGGGGAGCGGGCCGGGGGGCGCGGGCGCUCCGGGCGCGGGUGUCGGGCCAGACGGGCGGUGCGGGCGCGCGGGCGGGGAGCCGGGGCCGGUGCGCGCCCCGCGAGGCGGUGCGGGCGGCGGAGCGCGGCGCGCGGGGGGCGCGGGGGGCGCGGGGCUCGGGGCGCCGCAGCCUUGUGCCCGAGGCCGUGCGGCGUGGGUGCAAAUCCUGGCGGCUGUGUUUCUCCGGGCAGAGGCCACGCGGGGACGGAGGAGGCAGAGAGGACAGGCAGUGAUGGAGAAACGGGAGAGGAGCCGGCCAGCGUCACCAUCACCAUCACCGCCACCAUCGCCUCCACCAUCACCAUCACCAUCACCACCAUCACCAUCCCCAUCCCUGCCCGUCGCCCAUCCCAGCUGCCCCGGACCUCCCCUCCCUUCUCAUCUCCCCCCUGUCACGUCAACUUUACCAGAUUAUUUCCUUUUCCUGGGUGAUACUUUGAAACGGCGACAGUGUGCUCCAAAUUAGGAAUAAGUACCUCUGCUGUGGGACAUUCGGGCGCCUCUCCUUUGCCCGUUCGCGACCUCAGUUUUCCCAUCAGGAAAAGGACCACAGGGGUGCUCCGUUCCUCACAGUCAGCCUGUGAUGGCCGGCAAGCUUUCGGUUUUUCUAAUCUGGUGCCGGAAAGGGUUUUAGAGAUUACAUUUUUUCUUUCUCAUAUGGUGAGAGAGAUGUUCAUAUGGUAAAGUGGUAUUUUCACUGGGUUAAAUAACCCGGAGUUUUCAGUUCUCCUCUCCUUUGAUUAUUAAUGGCAAAAUGCCAGUAGCAAAUAGAAGCUAAGGAAAAUGAAACUUCGACUAAAAUCAUACCAAGAAUAGAAGCAAAACAGGUAUGUCUGUAGGAAAAUCACCCCCAAGACGGCCGAACGCAAUGACUUUCGUCUCAAGUGCAGAAAGUGCCCUUUUCGUGGGUAGCGGUUGUAGAUGUCCUUAUUUGGGAUGCAUGUAGUGGCCCCUAAGUGCUUUGCACCCUACCGGAAGAAUGUUUAAAUU
rnacentral:lncRNA from 1 species